UAGCGCCUUCCAAGUGCGGACACUUUUUAGCGCGGACCCGACGUCCAUAUAAUUGCAAAGAGGCGAUGGCGGUAACGAGGCCGGCGACCAUGGAAGCACUGAAGUGUAACAGGAUGCCAUCCGAAAUGGACACAAGCAUCAUCUCGCGUGCCUAAAAUAAGAAAUCAAUUACAUCGACGAAGGAAGUCUACCGUCAGCUGUCAUUCUAAUAAGGACAACUUCUGUUGGAGUACCGAUAAAGGCACCAAUUCCACCCGACACUGUACCCAGCA